ensembl:snRNA U6 U6 spliceosomal RNA
GUGCUUGCUUUGGCAGCACACAUACCAAAAGUGGAGUGAUACAGAGACUAUUAGCAUGCCCCCUGUGCAAGGAUGGCAUGCAAAUUCAUGAUGGGUAUAUUUUUUAU